GAUGAACGCUGGCGGUGUGCCUAAUACAUGCAAGUCGUACGCGUUCUCGUUUCUGAUUGACGGUGCUUGCACCUAAUUGACGAGACAUUGGAAAGAGUGGCGGACGGGUGAGUAACACGUGGGUAACCUGCCCAGAAGCGGGGGAUAACAUUUGGAAACAGAUGCUAAUACCGCAUAAAAGUCAAAACCACAUGGUUUUGAUUUAAAAGAUGGCCUUUGUGCUAUCACUUCUGGAUGGACCCGCGGCGUAUUAGCUAGUUGGUAAGGUAAUGGCUUACCAAGGAAAUGAUACGUAGCCGAACUGAGAGGUUGAUCGGCCACAAUGGGACUGAGACACGGCCCAUACUCCUACGGGAGGCAGCAGUAGGGAAUCUUCCACAAUGGGCGCAAGCCUGAUGGAGCAACACCGCGUGAGUGAAGAAGGGUUUCGGCUCGUAAAACUCUGUUGUUAAAGAAGAACGUAUCUAAGAGUAACUGCUUAGGUAGUGACGGUAUUUAACCAGAAAGCCACGGCUAACUACGUGCCAGCAGCCGCGGUAA
rnacentral:rRNA from 1 species